AUUGAACGCUGGCGGCAUGCCUUACACAUGCAAGUCGAACGCGAAAGCGGGGCAACCCGCAAGUAGAGUGGCGAACGGGUGAGUAAUACAUCGGAACAUAUCCAGUAGCGGGGGAUAACCUGUCGAAAGAUAGGCUAAUACCGCAUACGACCUACGGGUGAAAGCGGAGGACCGCAAGGCUUCGCACUAUUGGAGUGGCCGAUGUCGGAUUAGCUAGUUGGUGAGGUAAAAGCUCACCAAGGCGACGAUCCGUAGCUGGUCUGAGAGGACGACCAGCCACACUGGAACUGAGACACGGUCCAGACUCCUACGGGAGGCAGCAGUGGGGAAUUUUGGACAAUGGGCGCAAGCCUGAUCCAGCUAUGCCGCGUGAGUGAAGAAGGCCUUCGGGUUGUAAAGCUCUUUCGGUGGGGAAGAAAUGGUUCGUGCUAAUACCACGGACUGAUGACGGUACCCGAAGAAGAAGCACCGGCUAACUACGUGCCAGCAGCCGCCGUAACAC
rnacentral:rRNA from 1 species